rnacentral:rRNA from 1 species
UACGAAGGGGGCUAGCGUUGCUCGGAAUGACUGGGCGUAAAGGGCGCGUAGGCGGGUUUGACAGUCAGAUGUGAAAUUCCCGGGCUCAACCUGGGGGCUGCAUUUGAUACGUGAAGCCUGGAGUGAGGAAGAGGGUCGUGGAAUUCCCAGUGUAGAGGUGAAAUUCGUAGAUAUUGGGAAGAACACCGGUGGCGAAGGCGGCGACCUGGUCCUUGACUGACGCUGAGGCGCGAAAGCGUGGGGAGCAAACAGG